GGACAAUUCCCCUCCGAGAUGUUGAUCCGCGCGCCACUCUCCUCGCGGAUCCUCUUAACCGACUCCCCUUUCUUCCCAAUGAUGCUUCCUACUUCCUUUCCGUGCAUAAGAAGCCGAAUGAGGAAGACAAACAUAAAGAUGAAGUGCUUAAUUCAAGGUCACACAAUGUCGGGGAUGGACCUCCAGAUUUCCUUACUGACCUGCAUUAUCUUGUGGAUACCUGAGUGAAUUCCACACCACCCAUUUUAUAGAUGAAACCACUGAGACAUGGAGCAACUGACUGAGUAGUCACUGCCCCACCCCUGCCUGGAGCCUCACACAUGACUCGUCUCCUCUCAGUGACCACAGGUUGGUUGAGGGGUUUAACAAGGCUAAGAAGGUGAGACGUGGUCUUGUAACACAGUGGUUAAGAAUGUGACUUUGGAGCCAGCCUGCUAGGGGCUGAAUUCUGACUCAGCCAUUUACUAACUGUGUGACCUUAGGUCACAGAAUUUUCCACACUCCUUGACGGAGGUGCUUAACCCUUAUCCAUCAGCAUUCUCAGACAGCACCU
rnacentral:antisense_RNA from 1 species